AUUCAGAAACAAAGGACACAAACAGGGUGUGCAGUGAGCAGGUGUCAAUGGUAGAACCCAAAGAACAUGGUGAGGAAGGUGCUACGGGGCCCAACGGUGCAUCAGCUGAGGAUGAUAAUGAUGAUUCAGAAUCAGACGAGGGUAUGAUUGAGACAUUUUCAGAAGAUGAAGAGAGGUGGCCUUUGAGCAGAAUAACCGUAAUAUGUACCUGGUUUUUUUUUGCGUGAAACAAGAUGUUAAAAAAAUGUCUGUAAAAAGUAAGGAGGGUGACCAGAAAAGCUGUGAAGAUGCCGUUAUGGCUGAUAUUAUUAGAGCUGUUGUAGUAAAAGCCAUUUACCACUGUUUGAAAAAACCACUUUUGGAAAACUGUGCAGCCUACGUGGUAAAUGAGUCCAACCCUUCUAGUCACCCUUGUAUUUUUUUGGGUCACUCAGACGUAUUUUAUCAGAUUAGACAUACUUCUUCUAAACUGAAUGUGGCCCAGCUUUUAAAUGUAAUUAUAGUCAAAGGCUACAAACUGAAAAAGUUUAACAUAACCACUGAAACUAUAACCAAAGU